GCCUUGCAAUCCUAGAUGGCUCAGUCAGCAGAGCAUGGAACUCUUAAUCUCAGAGUUGGGAGUUCGAGCCCCACGUUGGGCA